rnacentral:piRNA from 1 species
UGCAAGCCAUUCCUGCUCUUGGUUC